rnacentral:rRNA from 1 species
UAGGGAAUCUUCCACAAUGGACGAAAGUACUGAUGGAGCAACGCCGCGUGAGUGAAGAAGGGUUUCGGCUCGUAAAACUCUGUUGUUAAAGAAGAACAUAUCUGAGAGUAACUGUUCAGGUAUUGACGGUAUUUAACCAGAAAGCCACGGCUAACUACGUGCCAA